CUCCUGCCUCCUAGGCUGCACUACAGCGGAUCAGAGGGAUCCUCUCUAACGCUAACAGAGAAAAGCUGACCCCUCCUUCUCUCCUCCUCCUCCUAAGCUGUGAGUCUGUGGGCCUGGCCAGAUUGCUGGAAUGAGGAGGCCCCUCUGUGGCCUGCAAUGGAGUUUACCCACCUGGGAAAAUUCACUUAUAUUUCCUCUGGACAUCAGUCACGGGGACCACAAGAGGCUGAGCAUCGCAAAUAAGGAAGUGGAAUCCCAGAAUCCGUGCCAGAGUGCAGAAAACUGACCUGCGUUUUCAUCAGAAACUGGUGAAGAGUCAAAAUGAG
rnacentral:lncRNA from 1 species